rnacentral:tRNA from 1 species
UCCUGGUGGCUCAGAUGGUAAAGAAUCUGCCUGCAAUGUAGGGGACCCAGGUUCGAUCCCUGGGUCAGGAA